GAUGAACGCUGGCGGCGUGCUUAACACAUGCAAGUCGAACGGGAAUUAUUUUAUUGACACUUCGGUCGAUUUAAUUUAAUUAUAGUGGCGGACGGGUGAGUAACGCGUGGGUAACCUGCCUUAUACAGGGGGAUAACAGUCAGAAAUGGCUGCUAAUACCGCAUAAGCGCACAGAGCUGCAUGGCUCAGUGUGAAAAACUCCGGUGGUAUAAGAUGGACCCGCGUUGGAUUAGCUGGUUGGUGGGGUAACGGCCCACCAAGGCGACGAUCCAUAGCCGGCCUGAGAGGGUGAACGGCCACAUUGGGACUGAGACACGGCCCAGACUCCUACGGGAGGCAGCAGUGGGGAAUAUUGCACAAUGGGGGAAACCCUGAUGCAGCGACGCCGCGUGAAGGAAGAAGUAUCUCGGUAUGUAAACUUCUAUCAGCAGGGAAGAUAGUGACGGUACCUGACGAAGAAGCCCCGGCUAACUACGUG
rnacentral:rRNA from 1 species